rnacentral:rRNA from 1 species
GACGAACGCUGGCGGCGUGCUUAACACAUGCAAGUCGAACGAAGUGGCGAACGGGUGAGUAACGCGUAAUCAACCUGCCCUUCAGAGGGGGACAACAGUUGGAAACGACUGCUAAUACCGCAUACUGAAGGAGGGGAUUGCGUCGGAUUAGCUAGUUGAUAGGGGAACGGCCCACCAAGGCGAUGAUCAGUAGCCGGGCUUGGAGGGUGGAAAGCCACAUUGGGAAUAGUACACGGCCCAGACUACUCCGGGAGGUAACGGUGGGGAAUCAUACACAAUGGACAAAAGUCUGAUGGGGCAACGGCGCGUGAGUGAUGACGGCCUUCGGGUUGUAAAGCUUUGUUAAUCGGGACGCGGUACCGGAAUAGAAAGCCACGGCUAACUACGUGCCAGCAGCCGCGGUAAUAC